rnacentral:rRNA from 1 species
UAAAAGUCGUAACAAGGUUUCCGUAGGUGAACCUGCGGAAGGAUCAUUAUUGAAAUAAACCUGAUGGGUUGUUGCUGGUUCUCUAGGGAGCAUGUGCACGCCUUGUCAUCUUUAUAUCUCCACCUGUGCACCUUUUGUAGACCUUCCAGGUCUAUGUUGCUCCAUUUACCCCAAUGUAUGUUAAUAGAAUGUUGUGUUUAUAAAAUCUAUACAACUUUCAGCAACGGAUCUCUUGGCUCUCGCAUCGAUGAAGAACGCAGCGAAAUGCGAUAAGUAAUGUGAAUUGCAGAAUUCAGUGAAUCAUCGAAUCUUUGAACGCACCUUGCGCUCCUUGGUAUUCCGAGGAGCAUGCCUGUUUGAGUGUCAUUAAUAUAUAUAUCAACCUUCUCUUGUUGGAGUGGUUUGGAUGUGGGGGUUUGCUGGCCUCUUAAAAGGUUCAGCUCCCUUGAAAUGCAUUAGCAGAACGGACCUGUUCAUUGGUGUGAUAACUAUCUACGCUAUUGAAUGUGAGGGGAUGUUCAGCUUUCUAACUGUCCUUGGACAAUUUAUCAUUUUAUGUGACCUCAAAUCAGGUAGGACUACCCGCUGAACUUAAGCAUAUCAAUAAGCGGAGGAA